rnacentral:tRNA from 1 species
GGAGUGUAGCUCAGUGGUAGAGCACUUGCCUAGCAUGCAUGAGGCCCUGGGUUUGAGCCCCAGCACUACCC